rnacentral:rRNA from 1 species
GUUUUCCUACGGGAGGCAGCAGUGGGGAAUAUUGCACAAUGGGGGAAACCCUGAUGCAGCAACGCCGCGUGAAGGAAGACGGUUUUCGGAUUGUAAACUUCUGUUCUUAGUGAAGAAGAAUGACGGUAGCUAAGGAGCAAGCCACGGCUAACUACGUGCCAGCAGCCGCGGUAAUACGUAGGUGGCAAGCGUUAUCCGGAUUUACUGGGUGUAAAGGGGGCGCAGACGGCGAUGCAAGCCAGGAGUGAAAGCCCGGGGCCCACCCCCGGGCCUGCUCUUGGA